GAGAGAGAGAGAGAGAGAGAGAUAGUGAAAGAGAGACGGAGGGAGAUGGAGAACAAAAGUAGACAGGGAUAAAGAGAGACAAAGAUGUAUACAGAAAAAGAGAGACGGAUAGAUACAUACAGAGAAAGAUGGCUAGAGAGACUGAAAGACAGACAAAGUCUCGCAUAAAUACAGAGAGAGACAGGUAGGGAGAGAUACAGAGAGACAGGUAGGGAGAGAGACAGAGAGACUGGUAGGGAGAGAGACAGAGAGACUGGUAGGGAGAGAGACAGAGAGACUGGUAGAGAGAGACAGGUAAAGAGAGAUACAGAGAGAGAGUUAGAGAGAGAGAUCCAGAGAGACAGGUAGAGAGAGAGAUGUAGAGAGAGAUACAGAGAGACAGGUAGAGAGAGAGACAGGUAGAGAGAGAGAGAUACAGAGAGACAGGUAGAGAGAGAGGCAGAGAGACAGGUAGAGAGAGAGAUACAGAGAGAGAGAGAGAUAGAGAGAGACGGGUAGAGAGAGAGACAGGUAAAGAGAGAUACAGAGAGAGAGGUAGAGAGACAGGUGGAGAGAGAUACAGAGAGACAGGUAGAGAGAGAGAGAUACAGAGAGAC
ensembl:lncRNA